GACGAACGCUGGCGGCGUGCUUAACACAUGCAAGUCGAACGGAAAGGCCCUAUUUUUGUGGCGUGCUCGAGUGCCGAACACGUGUGUAUCACGUGAGUAGCCUGCCCUUUUCUGUGGGAUACCUCCUGUAAACAGGGACUAUUACCCGGUAUAAGCUCCUGCUGCAUAGGGUGGGUGGGUAAAAUGCGGCGGUUGGGGAUGUACUUGCGGCUCAGCAGCUUGUUGGUGGGGUAGUGGAUUACCAAGGCUUUGACGGGUAGCCGGACUGCGAGGGUGACCGGCCACAUUGGGACUGGGGAGCGGGCCAUAGGGCUACGGGAGGCAGGAGUGGGGGUCAGAGCGAGAUGGGCGGAAGCAUGAAGCAGCGACGUCGCGUGGUGGAUGACUGCCGGUGGGUUGGAAACCGCGUUCGACUGUGAAGAAGCGUGAGUGACGGUAAUUGGUAAAGAAGCACCGGCUAACUACGUG
rnacentral:rRNA from 1 species